AAGAAUAAAGCAAAUGGUUGUGUUUUAGGGUUUAGCAUCUUCAUGGCUCAAUUUGUAAGUGUUUUGAGCUUGGUUUUUGAUGAUUUAUAUGUUUUUGUGAUCGUUGCUUUGUGUUCUAGCUAGCCCGUACCCUAAUUUCUAAAUUUUUUGAUGAAUAUGUGAGUUGCCAUUGAUGAUAGCUUGAUGUUUUUGAGUGUUGAUGAUGGAAAAUAAAUCAUUGUUGUUAGAUUAACAAGUUUUAUAAAGUGAUUUUUUGACAAAAAUGUUAAUUAGGUAUUAAAUUGAAAAAAUGUGAAAUAUUGUGGUUAAGUGUGAAAUAAAUGAAAAUAUGGGCUGCUAUGAAGUUGUAUUAAAUUUGGCUAGGCUUGGGUUUGGCCAAAAUUGAAUGAAUUUCAUUUUACGAGCUUAGGGACUAAAUUAUAAAAGUGUGAAACUUUAGGGGCAAAUUCAUAAUUUUUCAAAAUGUGUAAAUUAUGUUAAAUUGAAUGAAUUAAUGAUUAAAUAAGUAAAUUUUUUUAUUAUAUAGAUUUAGAAAAAAAUGAGAUUCGGAUCUAGAACGGAGGAAAACAAAGUAUUGGACUAGUCGAUCCGUUCCGUCGUUUUAACGAUCGAGGUAAGUUCGUAUGUAAUAAGCAUUUUUAAAUUUAUGCUUUUAAUUAUUUGACAUUGUAUAAAUUGUAUAUACAUGACUCUUGUUAUGUUUAACGACAUAUCGGCUAAGAAUGGCACUUAGUGUGCGGUUUGAAAUAGCUUCGGCUAAAUGUGGCACUUGGUGUGUGAUUUAAGAUAGCUUCGGCUAUAUAUAUAUACAUAUAUGUGGCACUUAGUGUGUGAAAUAUUGAGAAUGACACUUGGUGUGCAAGAUAUUGAGUAUGGCACUUAGUGUGCGAGACAUCGAAGAUGCAACGGCAUUAUGUGUAUGUAUGAAAUGGUAAGGAUCGGUACAGGUAUGUAUGCAAAACUCAUGAGAAAUGAUUUUGGUUUAUGAUGCAUCUUUGUAAUGAAGUAAAUAAGUAAGUCAUGCUUAUGAGAAUGAUCUUGUGAUGACCUUGUGAUUAUGGGUCCAUGCUUGUGUUGUAUAAAUAUGUAUUUAUACCAUGAUGGUUGAAAUGAUUUGUAAAGGUGUUAUUAAAGUAAUUAUCAUUAUUUUACACUAAAACAGUUUUGGAUAGCAGUAGCAGUCCAAAUUUGAAAAUUCACCAAAAAUGGUAAAAAUUGAAUUAGUGGUUGCAUAAGAUAUGAAAUUAAAGAUUAUCAAGUCUAGUUUCUUAUAAAGGAAACAGUGUAAGUAAAAGAAUUUUAUAUUAUGAGAUAUUUGAAUUUGUGUAAAACAGAGUCAGAACGAUUUCGAAAUCCCCUGUUCUGAUUUGAGAAAAUCAUUAAAAACUGUAAAAAAUAAUUAUGGGUUAUUAUUUAUAUGCUUAAAAUCCUUAAUGAGUCUAUUUUCAAAAGAAUAUUUUCAAAAGAAAUAAACAGGAACAUCAUCCAAAUCCCGUAUGAGGAGAUAAAUAAUUUUUAGUAAAGAAAGGUCAAAGCUAUCAAAUAGCAGAACAGGGGUAAAUUUGAAGAAUAAACUGUACUUAUUGGCUAAUCCAUAAAUUCUAAAAAUUUUAUGGUAGAAAGAUAUAUGAGUCUAGUUUCAAGGAAAAUUAACAGAUCUUAAUUUAUAAAUCUGUAGCUCAAGUUAUAAAUAAUUUAGUGACUGUUACUCGAGUAGAGAGCUUGACUGAAUUAUGUGCAAUUAUGAUUGUGCUACCUUGAAAACAUGUUGUUAGAAUUUAGCAAAAGCAUGUUAAUAAGUUGCUUAUUAUUUUCAUACGGACUUACUAAGCUAUAUAGCUUACUGCCCUUCCUUUCCCAUCUCUUAUAGGUUUAUUUAGCUAGCUCAGGUUGGAGAUCGCCGGAGAUUCAAUCACACUAUCAAGCUACCAUUUAAGGUAUAAGUAUUCAAGCACUUGAGUUUAUGGCAUGUAUAGGGGCUUAAUCAAUUGUGUAUGUGUCAUUUGAUUUGGCCAAAUGUAUUGCUUAUGAUGAUAUUUUGAUUCAUUUUGUAUAUAUAGCCAUGAGAUGUGGCUUAUAUUGACUAUUUGGGUUGUAAUGUCUAAUUAUAUGUACUUGCAUGUGCCAAAGGUCAUGUGGUGUGACAAUGUUGUUUAAUAUGGAUGGGUGUGUGGAUAUGGUUUAGGUGAUUGAUAAUUAGUUGAUGACAUAAUUGGCAUAAGUAUGAAAUAAGAGAAUGGGUUAAUGAUAGUCAUGGCAUGAAAGUUUGAUAAGUUUAAACUAGGCAAAGUAUGGUACCUUAUGCAUGAAUAAAUUGAUAUGAAAUUGCCAUGAUCAUGACUUGUUUGAUGAUGUUUAAAUGUUAAAUUAUGCCAUGAAAAGUGCCAUUAAAGUUAUGUUUAUGUAUGUGCAAAUGAGGGUGCCAAAUGGCUUGGUAAAUAGCCACUUUCUUGGCCACACGGGCGUGUGACCCUGUUUCAUAAUGAAAUUUUCUAAGUUUUCCCAAAAGUUUUCAAAGUUUUUGGUUUAGUCCCGAGUCAUCUCCGAUGCAUGUUUAGGGCCUUAUAAGCCCAUUUAAGGGACGUUAUACAUAUGUAUAAAUGUUUUUUAUUUGAAUGAAAUUUUAUGGCCCGAUUUUAUGUGAUCAUGUAUGUUUAAGUCCGGUAAUGCCUCAUAUCAUGUCCUGACCUCGGACACGGUUAAGGGGUGUUAAAUUUAGUGGUAUCAGAGCUAUGAUUUAGUCAAUUUUUGGACUAACCUAGCAUAUGUGAAUCUAGCUAUACAUGCCAUAUUACUACUCCUGAUAGUGUGACAUCUCCCGGCUCUAAUGAAAUUGUUUUGUAAGACAGAGAUGACCUCCAACCGAGCUAUUUUUCGAUAAUGCUAAAAAUGAUAUUGAGAUGAUUGAAAUGUGCCUAUGGUGUGCCGAAAUUUGGAAAGGUAUGAAUAGAAGUUUAUGAUAUGUAGGUGUUAAUAUAUGAAAUGAGAUAACUAUAAUUUGAGAAAAGUGGAACCGUAGAAUGAAAUAAAAAUUUAUGUUGUGAUAAGCUUAUCCAUGUGUGUUAGUAUUCGUAUGAUGUUAUGUGCCCAACCUAUCUGAUUAAGUGAAUAUGAUAAGCUAAUUUACUCAAGUUGACGGAAUGUGUGUUUAUGUACACUUAUCAAAUAAUGUAUAAUCAAUGUGUCCAUAUGGUUGAAUCUCAUGCUCAAUUGUUAAAUUAGAGAAUAUAUAAUGUUUCGUUUUAUGACUUUGUUAUGAAAUCAUAAAUAUUAUGAUAGUAUGAAAAUUGAAUUGGAAGAUCAAAUUGAGCAGAAUGCAGAAAAUGAGUACGAUCGUUCGAUGAUAAAUUGACGGAUAAGACCAUGGUUGACCAUGGCAAUAUAUGUAUGCUAGUGUAAGACCAUGUUUGGGACAUGGCAUCGACCACAUUAUGAGAGCCAGUAUAAGACCAUGUCUGAGACAUGGCAUCGGCAUUGAUAUGUGUGCUAGUGUAAGACCAUGUUUGGGACAUGGCAUCGGCCACAUUAUAAGAGCCAGUGUAAGACCAUGUCUAGGACAUGGCAUCGGCAUUGAGACGAGAGCUAGUGUAAGACCAUAUCUGGGAUAUGGCAUCGGUAUCGAUAUAUGAUCCCAUGUAAGACCAUAUCUGGGAUAUGGCAUUGGCAUCUUAUUAUGUGUAUGAGACUUUGUGUAAGACCAUAGUUGGACUAUGGCAUCAAGUGAACAAUGUACUCAAACCCAUAAUACGUUCUCUAAUUUGACAAAUGAUGGUAAGCAAAAUUAAAGCUAAGUGUUGGAACUUAAUUAGACGUUAAUUUGUAGUUCGAGUAAAUGAAUUUGUUGUAUGAAAUUGUGGAUGACAGAAACAUUUGUAAAAUAAAUCAGUAUGUUAAUUUGCUUGGAGUGAACUAUGUGAUUGUGAUGAUAUUAUAUUGACGAUGAAUGUUAAGUCAUAUGUGUGUAUUUAUGAAAGCUAAGUUAGAGGCUUUACAACUCCCCCUUACCAGUGUUGCUUUUGUGACGAAGUUUAUGAGAAUUAUGUUGAAUAAGUUCACAAGUAUGAGACUAAAGAGUUCAAUGGUGGGAUAAUUAGUAAUGCAAACAGAGUAGAGUACAGGGUAACAAAUGAACUCAGUUUUAGAAGAAGUAUCAGAUUGUUUUAAAGAUUAUACAGAUUAUGUAAUGUCAUGGUUAAAGAAGAAAAUUAGUCUCAGCUAUUCGACUCAAUCGGGUAUGAAGUCUAGAGAUAUGCUUACUGAAAUUUCUUCCGAAAUGGUUUUUGUUAAUGAUUGGAAUACUACGGUGUUCAUGAUAAUAAAAUUAGUCAGAGAACUGAUGAUUGAGUUGUAAAGAUUUCUGUGUAUAACAAUUAUGAUUGAAUAGAUUAUGAUGACUUCUUCUGGGUGUUCCAUAUAUUCAAUUGUCCCCAGGGGUUUAUAUGAUCAUUCUCUUUUUGAUGAAAAUCUUAUUGUAUGAAUAUUGGCUGACUUUGAUAGUAGAUGAAAUUACAAUUAUUCUGGUUGGGUUAUCAUCAGUAUUAUCUGAUUGAUCAUUUUAUGAACACUAAACUAGACUACGAUCACGAUAAAGGUAAGCGCACCUAUCGAAUGGUAGUAUAGCUAUGGCGAGUCCAAAGUAUCGUAUCCACAAGGACUAAAAGUACUAGUAAUAACUCUUUUUCUAUUAUUUAGCCAAAAAAAUAAGGGAUUUGUUUUUAACCUAAAAUUUUACUAAACUAAUUAAUUAAUGAACACGACAGAGACAAAAACUGGAAAAUACUUUGGGAAAACCGAUGGAGAAAACAAUACCCAAGGAAGAAUCCACCUAGACUUCACUUAUUACUUCUGAAUUAGACGAUUUAUUCACUUGACUAAUUCCGUAGAAAUCCCUAAUUUAUGUUAAUAUCUCCAUCGAGACUAAAAACAACUGACUCUAGGUUGAUUAAUUGAAAUCUCUUUCUAAUUAAAACCCCUAUUGUCGCAUUAACUCGAUAUAUGGAUUCUCUUAUUAGAUUUGACUCUAAUCAGGCAAAUUUACGUCGUCCUAUGUCUAGGAUUACAUUCAACUCCGCUUAAUUAUGCUAGACCUACUCUUAAAUAGGGACUUUUGCUCUACUGAAUAAGCACAUCAAACUUGGAUUAAUAUUCUGAAAUAUUAAAGGAAGAAUUAAGAACACAUAAUUAAGAAUAAGAACAAGUAUUUAUCAUAUAAUUCAAAUAGUAAUAAGAUCUGUCUUAGAUUUCAUCUCCCUUAGGUAUUUAGGGAGUUUAGUUCAUAAUUAUGGGGGAAAACAUCUCAAAAUAGGGAAAACAACAAAACAUAAAGAAACCCAAGAACUUCGGUAGAAAUUGAAUGGAGAUCUUCAGUCUUGAAGUAAUCCUGCUUUCGAGCUGAUUCCAAUGGCUUUCCUUCGAGUAUUUUCUGCAUUAUGCUCUGCGUGCCCCCCUUUGAUCCUCUUCUAGGGUGUUAUAUAAACUUUAGAAGGCCCAAAAAACCCAAAAUUAGCCUUUUCUAAGUAGAAUUAGACUUGGGCUCGAUAGGGACACAGCCGUGUGGCACGCCCGUAUGAAGGUGCCCAGGCCGUGUGCGCUUUUAAGUUGGCUUUAAGUCGACACAGCCAAGACACACGGACGUGUGGCCAUCCCGUGUGUGUGUAAAUUACCUGUGUGGAAAUAGGCCAGGCCGUGUGAAGCACUAAGGUAGCCCGUUUUGUCCGAUUUUGGUUUUUUUCUUGAACUUUUUGCCCUCCUAUGCUCAUCUGGAUAUAAAACAUGAAAUUAAAAGAUUAGGAGCAUCAAAUCCACUAAAUCUUGUGAUAAUUCAUCCAAAAAUACACUAAGCAUGGGAUUAAAAUAUGUUACUUUUAUGGCUUAUCAAAUAUCCCCACUUAAGCAUUUGCUUGUCCUCAAGCAAAUCCUCAACUUACCAUUAAAAUCAACCAUUCUCAACUUAUAAUUUUCAUCAAUGAUGUUUCGUCAUAAUUGAUAAAUAGUCGCACUUUGAUAAUUCAACUAAAAGAACACUAAAGGCAUAAGUAAUCUAAAUCAAAAUUUCAAAAUGUGAAAACAGAGGUAUUUCCCUUUAUCUAAGUAAUUACCUUUAAUUAAAAUUUUACAAGAGUUGAUAUCCUCACUAAAGAUUCACUCAAAUCACUCAAAGUGUUUAAGGUUCAGAAUUUAAGCACUCAAUAGUCAACAUGAAAAGUCAUUACCAUAGGCUUGCAUGAAAAUAAAAUAUCCACCACUUAAAAUGAGAUGAUACACAAAUCAAAAGGUCUUUUAAAAGGUUGUAAUGGGGCUUAGGUUAAAGGUGUGGAUAAAGGCUGAAAAUGAGGGUUAAAAUCGAGAUAGAGUUGAUAAGUUAUGAAACUAGAUAAAAUAAAUACAUGCGAAAAUACAUGCAAAAUUACAUCAAUUGCAAUAAAUCUAACACGAUCUUCUUCUCAAUUUAUGCAUAUAAUUGUUUGAGCUCUCUAAACAUAGCUACUGAAUAAUCGAUAAAUAUAAACAUGAGUGUAGAUGCUAAUUUUUUUUAAGAGAACAAGUAUAAGUAUUAACUUAACAAAUGAAAUAAAAGAACCAAGUUAGGUAAUAAACCAAAUCUAAUCUCGACAAAAAGGGAAUUAAUAAAAUGGGAUAAAUUCUUAAUGAAUUAAAAAGGUUGAGAUAUGGGUUAACAUUAAUGGAGUAAAUCAAGAAUGGUGUGCUAGGCUCAAAGGGGUUCACUAGGGGUUAACUGUGGAGGUAAGCUUUUAUGGGAUAAGUAGGUUAAAACCUAGGUGCCUUUAUCAUCUCAGUAUAUCAAAUCAAAGGUGUGGUCUCGACAUGUAUAAUCGAUGCAAGUUCUAGAAUAACAGUUCAAUAUCGACACACUCAUAACCAAUAAUAAAAUGAGGAAGAAGAAUGUAUGCUCUUAAAGGCUCAAAAUCUCACAGAAAUUAUGGCUUUUGAUGUCAAUCCUGCAAUUUUUAAAUUUCAAAGUAAUACUUCAAUUUAGGGAAACAACCUAAAAUUUUCAAUUCAAAAAUAUUUCAACUUAUCAUGCUUGAUUCUCUAAUGCCUUAAAGUUUAAACCAUCAACGUACAAUUCUCUAUGAACUUAAUCUACAACAUAUCAAUAAAUAUCACAAGUUAUUGAAAGAUUCACUCUAAUAGUAAUAUGAGAAAAUUACCUAAAUACAAGACAUAAUUCAGGGAUUUUCUGAUAAUCAUAUAAAUAACCUCCCCACAUUUAAGAUGUACAUUGUCCUCAAUGUACAAACAUUGAUAGAUAAUAACAAUAUAAGUGUAAUAUCAUAAAAGAGGGGGAGAAGCGAAACUGCCCUAAAUUGUUUUGGAUGAAGUCCUUGGAAUAGUAAAAGGAAAAUUGUAAAUAGGGCCAAUGAAAGGUAUGAUUCUGAGUUACUAAUAAGAAAAUAAACACAACUGUGGAAGAGAAUGAAGGGGUUAGAACUCGAUUAGGAACAUAUAGUUCAAAAUAUAAAAGAAAAAUAAACAUAAAAAUAAAAAAAUAGAAAUAGAAAUAAAUGGACCCAGUUUUCACACAACCUAGGACAUGCCCGUGUGUCCUGGCUGUGUGGUUCACACGAUCGUGUCGCACGACCAUGUACUCUUCUUCGCUUCUCCCACGCCUUUGUGGUCUCCAACACACCUGUGUGUCUGAACACACGGUCGUGUGUAACACCUUAAACCCGGCCUAGACGUUACGACCGAAUCUAGCGUGUCACAUCGAAGCAUUUUUCAAAAAUUGAUCUUAUCGGUAAAAAUCUAUUAACGAAGGUAAAUCCUUUAAUUGUUGUUUUAAAAGAGUUUGCAUCAAAAUGUUUAAUUUAUUGAUCAUUGGUGUUACUUUUAGAUUCGUUAAAUAAAAAGGCAGAAGCUCUAUAGGUCGAUGAAAUUUGAAUCGCGUGUUUCAGAAAAUAAUAUUUGUUUUGAAAACCCGCCAGUACCUAGUCUAGCAGUUUAAAAUAUAAUUCAAAAUCCCAAUUAAACUUAAACCCAUAAAUGGCCUUAUUAAAUGUUCAAAACCUAAAAAGGAAAUUCAAUGCAACCGUGUGGCCACCUCCGAGUCCCUCGCGGCUCCAAAUCGCCUAAAGCUGGGGAUUACCUGCGCAGUUAAAAGAAAGGGUGGGUUUACGAAAACUCAGUGUGUAGUCUCCUAUCAGUAAAUUGAUAAACAAUAUGUGCAAAAUAGUCUGGGCCUCAGCCCUAUUCAGUACCAGUACAGUCCAGGCCUUAGCCCUAUACAGCAACAGUGUGGGCCUAAGCCUAAUACAAUAACAAUAUGAAAAUAUGCAACCUAUCCCAAAUCUAACUAGCACACCACCCGUACCAACCAGCACACCCAUAUUGCAGCGAGGCUGCCAGUAAUAAUAGCACAGCAUUGCUGCCAGUAAUAAUAAGGGCGGCAAGCCACCAGUAACAGUAAACGUGACAUCGUCACCAGUACAGUACUUCCUCCAUAUCAUAAUCCCAACCCCAUGCGGUAUGUAAUGUCACAAUAAUACAUGCAAUCAAAAUCAUGCUCAAUACAGUCAUACCCAUAUCCUACAGUCAGUCAAUCAACCCACCUCUACGGUUAUAAAAAUCAUUUGCGUUCAUCAGGGUAAAAUAGUAAUUUUACCCCCUUGAGGGUACUUUGGUCAUUUUAUUACUUUUAAAGAUUCGGUACAAAUAGCAAUCUCUUAAAAGGUCUGUCGUCGCCUCGAGCGACUCAGAUAACUUAAAUGGUCAUGACGGUGUAAAUGGGCCCAAGUGGGCCCACACGCUCGUGUGGCCCAAUUAGCCCAAUUCCAGUUGCAAAAAUGCGAUCAUUAUCGUCCACUCUAUUAUUUGACACCUACCGUAACUUUUGUCCGUGUGGGGCCCAUGAGCCCAUUAGGCCCAUACGGACCAUGUUGGCCCAACGAGGCCCACGACUUGAGCCCACGAGAACACUCGGGGCGGUCUUUAUAGUCUGUUGUCCCUGAUUUAUGGCUCGGUUUACCCCACGUGCUUUCGCACGCUCGUGAGGCCUCAAAUGCUGAAGUUUCGGCUUUUCAGCUUUUCGACUUUUGUCGAUUCAUAGUAACAAAGUGGUGUAAAUACACACCUAUAUCCAACAUUCGAUAAUAGAAAAUUAGGCGAACGAUUACAUACCUUGAUUGCGAAAGUGAAAGAGAAUUCCCCUACGAGUCCAAAGCCUACAAUCAAUCCAACAACCAGUUAAACUCUACUAAAACAAUCGCAACAAUUAAUUCUAACCCAAUUCUCCUACUAACCUUGAUCGCAAAGAGGGUGGCCAACUGUGCCUAAAAUAGUUAGGAUCUAUCUCACGCUUUGACGAGAAUCUGAGUUCUAAGCAGAUCUAGAUAGUCAGUAACAACUACCAUCCUAUUAACACAAAAGUACAGAUUCGGCUAAACCCCAAGCAAUGAGAUGGCAUACUACCUUAGUCGAAUACUUGAGGGGAAAGGCUGUGGUUUCUUUAACCCUGCUUGCACACCACUACUCCUUGAAGAACCUUAAACAAAAUAUGAAAGGAAUCAUAAAUCGAUACCUGAUAAACAGGAAGAAAACAUUCGGCUAAAAAAGAAUGGAAGGAAGCAUAACCUCAACCCUUACCAAACUUCAGAGAAUCCUAGCGCAACAUAAGAAGAACAGGGAAGUAUUCGACCAAUUCCUAAAUAGCAGAGUAACCGACGAUGGUUAGCUAUAAAGAUAAAGGGUAUUCGGCCUCAAGAGAAAAGAGUAUGUCAAAAGGAAAUAGAAGAAAAGAAUAAGGUAAGAAGAUGAAGAGAAGAUUCGGCUAGCAAAGAAAUCAAGAGAAAGUCAAAUAGCGAGAGAGGAGAAAAUGAGGAGAAAAUAAGGUCUUGGAUGAGGCAAUAAUCGGUCAAGGGUUGGAAGAAAAGAGAGACUCGACACUAGGGAAAAUAUAUACCAAAACGCCAAAAGAUAAAAUCCUGAAAAUAGAAGAGGAAUAAUUCGGCUCCUACCCCCACACCAAAUGCUGAAAUGCACCAAAUGAGUUCCCUUAGCCGAAUUUGUACAAAAGAGUUGCCCAAUUCGGCCACAACACUACUCCCCUCCAAAUCCCUUGAAACUCUCUUCAAAACUCUCCUUGAUAUCCUCCACAAUCGUCUCCUAACAACUAAAGACCAAUUCAAACUCCCACCACACAGAAUCCUACUUCAGUUCAACCACUUGUCGUCUACAAGUGCAAAAUAAAUGCCCCUUGUUUGCCAUGGGGUUCGAACCCUCUCCCAACAGCUAUGUAACGUCACCACCACUAAGCCAGAAGGCUUUUUAUGACGCAACACAACCACAAUUAUUUAUAAAGCCUAAGUGCCAGCAUCUAGGUUCUUUUAAAGCAAAAAUCAAAAAUUCUGCAAAAGCUGGAGCUUGAACCCAGGACUUCCUAGACACCCCCAAACACACCCCAAACCACUUAGCUGCUAACGUAACAUGAGAAUUAUGCCAAAACAUGCCAAAAAAUUACAGACCCUAAAUCUCGAGGCGUUACAGUGUGUGCCUUACCCGUGGAGCUCCCUAACUUGUUUUAAAAUAAAAAAAAUUUAGCUACAGUUUUCAUACGGCAUAGGACACGCCCAUGGGGGCUGGCCGUGCAGUUCACACGGCCGCGUGAUUUGUCGAUGGUUGGGAAAUUUUGGCCUUGUGAAACACGCCCAUGUUUCUCGGCCGUGUGGGUCACUGUACUUGUAUGAAAACAUAAAAAAAUAGAUAAAAUAAAUAGUUAAUGGUGUUAGUGCUCGGGUUGCCUCCCGAGAAGCACUUAUUUAGAGUCUAAGCUCAAUUUAUCUCUCAUUCGCAUGGUCAUAGUGGUUUGAGGAGUUGAAACUUCUCAUUCCUCCUAUCAAUCUUAUCAAAAUAAGGUUUUAGAUUAGUACUAUUUACCUUAAAAGUGCCGAAUUUAAAAUGAGUUACCUCGACUGUACCGUAUGGGAAAACAUUGAGUACCGUAAAAGGGAUUGCUCCAUUAGGUUCAGACGUCGCAACACGAGGGUCUGCUUCAUCUAACAGUAUUUUGUCUCCAACCUUAAGUUGAUUCGAUAAAACUUUGAGUCCGUCAUGACGCGGCUUUAGUUCAUCGUGUGUUCUUAGUUUUUGUGUCAGCUAUUCAUCUAGUUCCUCGAUCUGUAGCCUUCCUCUUCAUAGAUGGAUCCUUUGUUGUUACUUGAACGUGGCUCAUUUAUGCUCUCCGAACGUGUUUCCUGUAAAAAAGUUUGCACCACAUGGUCAGUAUUAGUAGCAUGAUUUAUACAACAACCUUCACUACUUGAUGUCUUAAUCAAAUCACAAGCCUGAAGAGUGAUCGUUUCAUCACCUACACGAAGUGUGAGUUCACCUGUACCAACAUCAAUAAUAGUUCUAGCAGUUGCUAAAAAGGGUCGUCCUAAAAUCAAAGGCACAUCACUAUCCUCUUCUAUAUCUAGAAAAACAAAAUCAAUUAGGAAUAUAAAUUUGUCGAUUUUAACAAGAACAUCUUCAAUUAUACCCCUAGGAAAUCUAAUUGUUUUAUCAGCCAAUUGAAUGUUCAUCCUAGUUUGUUUGGGUUUCCCAAGACCUAGUUGUUUAAAAAUUUUAUAAGGCAUAACAUUAAUGCUUGCCCAUAAAUUAGCCAAAGCAUUGCUAACAUUUAAACUACCAAUUAAGCAAGGAAUCGUAAAACUCCUUGGAUCUUUUAGCUUGAGGGGUAGUUUGUUCCGUAGAAUAGCUGAGCAAACUGCGUUUAAUUCCACAUGUGAAGAAUCGUCUAACUUCCGUUUAUUUUCCAGAAGCUCCUUUAAAAAUUUAACUGAAUUGGGCAUCUGCGAAAGAACUUCAAUAAACGGUAAGUUAAUAUGUAAUUUUUUAACAGUUUAAGGAAUUUACAGAAUUGUUCAUUUGUGUGGUCUUUCCUUGUCGCAUUCAGGUAUGGCACACGAAGUGUAUACUCCUUACUUACUGGUUUCGGUUCAUUAUGGCCCACCUCAACCUUACCUUUACUUACCACAAGUUCUUGCAUUGAUUCUGGUUCAGGUUCAACUAACCCAUCUUCAUCUUGAACAGUAAUCGCGUGGAGUUACUCUCUUGGGUUAGUUUUGGUAUUGCUAGGCAAGCUACCUUCUUUCUGAGAUUAGCUUAGCCAACUGACUUAUUUGAGUUUCGAGUCCUUGAAUUGAUGCUUGCUGAUUUUUAAGCGUUGUUUCAGUGUUUUGGAAACGUGUUUCUAACACCAAGAUAAAUUUCGUUAGCAUCUCUUCUAGGUUCGACUUCUUUUCCUAUUGGUAAGGUGGUUGAAAACCUGGAGGGGGUUGCAGUCUUUGAUUUCCUUGGCCUCCCCAUGAGAAAUUGGGGUGGUUCCUCUAACCUGCAUUGUAAGUGUUACUAUAAGGAUUAUUCUGAAGUCUAAAAUUGUUACCCAUAUAGUUGACUUGGUUGCUUUCUGUGCUAAAGUUGUAAGGUGGAUAUUCUGGGUUAUGCAUCCCUCCUCCAUUUAUAUCGCACUGCAUUACUGGAUGUACCUGUGAGGAACCAUACAAACCAUCAAUUUUCUUAUUUAAAAGAUCUAUUUGGUUUGAUAGCAUGGUGACAGCGUCGAGGUUGAAAACACCGGCUAUUUUUGUUGGCUUUGUUCUCAUGACUUGCCACUGAUAAUUAUUCAAUGACAUCUCCUCUAUAAACUCAUAAGCAUCCUCGGGUGCUUUAUUAUUUAUGGUGCCACCGGCUGCUGCAUCGAUCAUCUGUCUAGUUGAAGGCUUCAAACCGUUGUGAAAAGUUUGAACCUGUAGAUAUAGCAGUAACCCAUGGUAAGGGCACCUUCUCAAUAAAUCCUUGUAUCUCUCCCAUGCAUCAUACAGUGUCUCCAAAUCCAUUUGCAGAAAAGAAGAGAUAUCAUUCCUCAACUUAACCGUCUUAGCUGGCGGAAAAUAUUUAAGUAGAAAUUUUUCGGUUGUCUGUUCUCAUGUAGUGAUGGACCCUCGCAGUAACAAGUUCAACCAUUGUUUGGCUUUACUCCUCAAUAACAAGGGAAAUAACCGAAGGCGAAUGGCAUCAUCAAAAAUGCCAUUUAUCUUAAAAGUGUCGUAGAAUUCCAUAAAAUUUGCUAAAUGAGUAUUUGGAUCCUAGUCCUGCAAACCAUCAAACAGUCUGUUGUAUCAUUUGAAUCGUGUUAGGUUUCAGUUCAAAAUUAUUUACAGCAACAGCAGGUCUAACUAUACUUGAUUCAGUUCCUGUUAAAGUAGGCUUAGCAUAAUCAUACAUAGUACGAGGAGUAUGAUUCUGAUUCACUAGAUUUGCAGCAACCACAAGAGGUAGCGGAUUGUUCUGAUUUUCAGCCAUAUUGGGAUUGUCCUCUUGCUCUUCCUCUAUAUACUGUAGACUACUCCUAAUUUCUCUACGAUUUCUACGAGCUACGCUUUCAAUCUCACUAUCAAAUAGUAAUGGUCCUGACGGGUUCCUUCUAGUCAUAAACUAUAAAAAUCUGCCAGAAGCCUAGAAAAGAAAAAUUAGUAAUAAUAAAAAUAAAAAUAAAUUACAGUAAAAAUAAAAAUGGCUAAAGUAAUAAAAAUUAAACGUUCCUAAUAUCUGAAUCCCCAGCAACGGCGCCAAAAACUUGAUUGAUCAUUUUAUGAACACUAAACUAGACUACGAUCACGAUAAAGGCAAGCACACCUAUCGAAUAGUAGUAUAGCUAUGGCGAGUCCAGAGUAUCGUAUCCAUAAGGACUAAAAGUACUAGUAAUAACUCUUUUUCUAUUAUUUAGCCUAAAAAAUAUAAGGGAUUUGUUUUUAACCUAAAAUUCUACUAACCUAAUUAACUAAUGAACGCGACAGAGACAAAAACUGGAAAAUAGUUUGGGAAAAACGAUGGAGAAGACAAUACCCAAGGAAGAAUCCACCUGGACUUCACUUAUUACUUCUGAAUUAGACGAUUUAUUCACUUGACUUAUUCCGUAGAAAUCCCUGAUUUAUGUUAAUAUCUCCAUCGAGACUAAAAACAACUGACUCUAGGUUGAUUAUUUGUAAUCUCUUUCUAAUUAAAACCCAUAUUGUUGCAUUAACUCGAUCUAUAGAUUCUUUUAUUAGAUUUGACUCUAAUCUGACAGAUUUACGUCAUCCUAUAUCUAGGAUUGCAUUCAACUUCGCUUAAUUAUGCUAGACCUACUCUUAAACAGGGACUUUUGCUCCACUAAAUAAGCACAUCAAACUUGGAUUAAUAUCCUGAAAUAUUAAAGCAAGAAUUAAGAACACAUUAUUAAGAAAAAGAACAAGUAUUUAUCAUAUAAUUCAAAUAGUAUAAGAUCUGUCUUAGAUUUCAUCUCCCAUAGGUAUUUAGGGAGUUUAGUUCAUAAUUAUGGAGAAAAACAUCUCAAAAUAGGGAAAACAACAAAAUAAAGAAACCCAAGAACUUCGGUAGAAAUUGAAUAAAGAUCUUCAGUCUUGAAGUAAUCCUGCUUCCGAGCUGACUCCAAUGGUUUUCCUUCGAGUAUUUUCUGCGUUAUGCUCUAUAUGGCUCCCUUUGAUACUCUUCUAGGGUGUUAUAUAGACUUUGGAAGGCCCAAAAAAACCCAAAAUUAGCUUUUUCCGAGUAGAAUUAGACUUGGGCUCGACAGGGACACGGCCGUGUGGCACGCCCAUGUGAAGGUGCCCAGGCCGUGUGCGCUUCUGAGUUGGCUUUAAGUCGACACGGCCAAGAUACUCGAGCGUGUGGCCAACCCGUGUGUCACACACGGACGUGUAAAUUACCCGUGUAAAAGUGGGCCAGGCCGUGUGAAGCACUAAGGUAGCCCGUUUUGUCCGAUUUUUGUCUUUUUCUUUAACUUUUUGCCCUCCUAUGCUCAUCUAGAUAUAAAACAUGAAAUGAAAAUAUUAGGAGCAUUAAAUCCACUAAAUCUUGUGAUAAUUCAUCCAAAAAUACACUAAACAUAAGUUUAAAAUAUGUUACUUUUAUGGCUUAUCAUUAUCUUAUCUCUCUCUUCGGGAUUCUAUUCUAGUAUGUUCGGAAUAAAGUUGAUGGUGAAAAUUUAUGUGAGACUAUUUAUCUGUAUCUAUUGAAUGAUGUUUCGUCUUAAUUGUAUAUUCGAAAAAUAUGAUACCUCUGUUAAGAUGGAAUUCCAGAGCCGGUAAGCAAUGUUUCUCUUUCAGUUUUCAGUGAGAAAUUAUCCAGAUCUUCAUUAUUAUUUUCUUAUGAGUUAUGCUCUUGGAUUUCUGUUAUGAGAUCGUAUCUAGGGUUUUCUUAGUGUCCCUAUUGCGCGGAUUAUCUGACAUGGCUCAUCUCUAAAAUAUGUUCCUUGUUCUAUUAUGACUGUGCUUAUUAUGAUAAUGUUUCGGGAUUCGAUAAUAAAAAUGGGGAGAUUCUAGCAUCUGGAUUUCUCUGAUUUUCAAGUAAGGAAUUGAAAUCGGCGAAGGUAUGUAUGAUAGAAGCUCGAACUUGAGUUAUAUUGUGGUUUUCUUUUCUUAGGUAAGUUUGACUAAGAUCCGUGAGUUAAUUGGAAUAUUUUUGUUUCCCUGAGUUAAUAUGGUUGCAAGAUCUAUGACUAACAGGUUAAAAGAAUUUUAAAAGAUUAUGUGUUUGAACCGUUUUUCUCAGCAUGAAGAAAAGAGUAUCCUGACAUAUUAUUUUUCGAUAAUUGAAAACAACUCAGUGGUUUUUAUCAGAGUAAACUAAUUUGUUGAGACGUGAUUUGAGCUAAUUGUAUUUGAGCAAGUCUUUUAGUUAAGGGAAUAAGUUUGGUGCAUUCACGAGUAUAUAUGUAGACGGAUAAUUUGAAUAAAGAAAGUAUAUUCUAGAAAUUUUGAUGCAGAGAUAUGCUUAUUCGACUAUUCUAAUGGAGUGAUGUUAUUAUGAGUUAAACUAUUCUAAUUGAUAAAGCUAUCACAUUUGUGAAAGCUUGAAUAAUCUGUGGCAUGUUAGCAAAGUUGAAAAUGGUUGAGAGUAUUACUAACCGAAGUUCUAGUUUCGAGUUUAGUUUGAAUUGAGUAAAGAAUUUAUGAAUUUCAGUGAUGUACUAUUGAACAGAUUGGGAUAAGCUUUAAUACGAGAAUGUAAAGAAGCAGUUUGUGCUUCCAGACAGUUAAAGUCACAAUAAAAGAGAACUUUUUGAUUAGCGAUUUAAAGACGGCCACUUUUAUGUCUGUGUUGUGAAUUCGAUAAUAUCAUGUGUUCGAGAGAAAAUGUUAUAUGCUUCCUGAAUCCUAAUGAGUUAAAGUAUCUAAUGUUACUGAAAAAGAUCUGGAAUUAAGACAGUGUCAAUGAUUUGAGAUAUUGAAAGACUCCAAGUAGUUAUUGAUUAAUCUCUGAGAAAACAGAUAUAGUUACAGAUGCCGAAUGGAAAGAUCUUUGCUUAUUUUGUACGAGUGGUUACUCAAUUGAUCUUAUUUAAUGAUGGUCUGAUGUUAGCUAAAUAAAAAGCUAAAGUGAUGUUUUCUUUAUGAGUUUGAAAAACUCAGAAAUGUGUUAGUGAAUUGCAAGCUAAACAGGUACAGUGUGAAAUGACUUUCGAUUUCGAAUUUCAGAAGUUUUUGCAUGAGGCUCAGUAGUAGAUUGCCUGUUCAUCCGAGAGUAAAAAAUGUACAGUUAUAUGAAGUAGAUGUUUUGGUGUACGGGUAUGAAACUCAGUAUUUCUGAUUCUGUGUUCAGAUGUUGAUUUGUCAAUAGGUUAAAUCCAAAGAUCAAGUGUAUUCAGGUCUAAUACAGUCAGUGAUGGUACGGAUGUGAUAAAGAGAUACAGUCACUAUGGACUUCGUAUUGGGGUUGCCAUUAUCACCAAUAAAAGAGAUGUUAUUUGUAUUGUGAUUGAUUGUUUGGCCAAAAAUCCGCAUGAUUGUUUCAAUAUAUACAGAGUUCCUAUUUGACAGACCAACUGAGCUAUGUG
rnacentral:lncRNA from 1 species